AUGUGUGAUGCUAGUGAUUAUGCUGUAGGUGCUGUUCUAGGGCAAAGAGUUGAUCAGAAAUUAAAUGUUAUUCAAUAUGCUAGUAAAACUCUAGACAAUGCCCAGAAAAACUAUGCUACUACUGAAAAAGAAUUCUUAGCAGUUAUAUUUGCUUGUGAUAAGUUCAGACCCUAUAUUGUUGAUUCUAAAGUAACUAUUCACACCGAUCAUGCUGCUAUUAAAUAUCUUAUGGAAAAGAAAGAUGCUAAACCUAGACUUAUUAGAUGGGUUCUCUUGCUACAAGAAUUUGAUUUACAUAUUAUUGAUAGAAAGGGAGCUGAGAACCCCGUUGCAGACAACUUGUCUAGGUUAGAAAAUGUUCUUGAUGACCCGCUAUCUAUUGAUGAUAGCUUUCCUGAUGAACAAUUAAAUGUCAUAAAUGCUUCUCGUACUACUCCAUGGUAUGCUGAUUAUGCUAAUUACAUUGGUGCUAAAUUUAUACCGCCUAGUUUCACAUACCAACAAAAGAAAAAGUUUUUCUAUGAUUUGAGACAUUACUUUUGGGAUGACCGACAUAUUUACAAAGAAGGAGUAGAUGGUGUUAUUAGACAUUGUGUACCUGAGCAUGAACAGGAACAGAUCCUACGCAAGUGUCACUCCGAAGCUUAUGGAGGACACCACGCUGGAGAUGGAACGACAGAUAAGGUAUUGCAAUCCGGUUUUUAUUGGCCCACUCUCUUCAAGGAUACUCGUAAGUUUGUCUUAUCUUGUGAUGAAUGUCAAAGAAUUGGCAAUAUUAGUAGACGUCAAGAAAUGCCUAUGAAUUAUUCACUUGUUAUCGAACCAUUUGAUGUUUGGGGCUUUGAUUAUAUGGGACCGUUUCCUGCCUCUAAUGGGUAUACUCAUAUUUUAGUUGCUGUUGAUUACAUUACUAAGUGGGUAGAAGCUAUUCCAACUAGUAGUGCUGAUCAUAACACCUCUAUUAAGAUGCUUAAAGAAGUUAUUUUUCUGAGGUUUGGAGUCCCUAGAUAUUUAAUGACUGAUGGUGGUUCACAUUUUAUUCAUGGUGCUUUUCGUAAAAUACUUGCUAAGUAUGAUGUUAAUCAUAGAAUUGCAUCUCCUUAUCACCCACAAUCUAGUGGUCUAGUAGAAUUGAGUAAUAGAGAGCUCAAAUUAAUUCUGCAAAAGACUGUUAAUAGAUCUAGAAAGAAUUGA
rnacentral:rRNA from 1 species